ACGCUCGACACCUACUGGAGGCAGCAGUGGGGAAUAUUGCACAAUGGGGGAAACCCUGAUGCAGCGAUGCCGCGUGAAGGAAGAAGUAUCUCGGUAUGUAAACUUCUAUCAGCAGGGAAGAAAAUGACGGUACCUGACUAAGAAGCCCCGGCUAACUACGUGCCAGAGCCGCGGUAAUCUGAGCGGGCUGGCAAGGC
rnacentral:rRNA from 1 species